AUCACUUCUCAGACUUUUGGCUAAGAUCAAGUGUAGUAUCUGUACUUAUCAGUUUAAAGAAGGGGAUUCCAGAAGAGCUCAGGGGAUCAAAGGAAGGAGUAAAAAGUUGGACCUUAAUAAAAGAGUGGACUCAUCACCUCAGAGGCUGAUGCAAAGAGAACUUUGGGAAUGGGGUUGCAGACACAUU